rnacentral:rRNA from 1 species
GACGAACGCUGGCGGCAUGCCUAAUACAUGCAAGUCGAGCGAACAGAUGAAGUGCUUGCACUUCUGACGUUAGCGGCGAACGGGUGAGUAACACGUAAGGAAUCUACCUAUAAGCGGGGGACAACAUUCGGAAACGGGUGCUAAUACCGCAUAAUAUCUUCUUCCGCAUGGAAGAAGAUUGAAAGACGGCUCUGCUGUCACUUAUAGAUGACCUUGCGGUGCAGUAGUUAGUUGGUGGGGUAACGGCCUACCAAGACGAUGAUGCAUAGCCGACCUGAGAGGGUGAUCGGCCACAUUGGGACUGAGACACGGCCCAAACUCCUACGGGAGGCAGCAGUAGGGAAUCUUCCGCAAUGGGCGAAAGCCUGACGGAGCAAUGCCGCGUGAGUGAAGAAGGCCUUCGGGUCGUAAAACUCUGUUAUAAGAGAAGAACAAAUUGUAGAGUAACUGCUACAGUCUUGACGGUAUCUUAUCAGAAAGCCACGGCUAACUACGUGCCAGCAGCCGCAGUAA